rnacentral:rRNA from 1 species
UGUGGUGCUGAUAUUGACGGUGGUCACACCUGUUCCCAUCUCGAACACAGCAGUUAAGCACCAUCAAGCCGACAGUAGCUAUUGGAUAAUAGUAAGAAUAGCUCGUAUCACAC